UACGUAGGUGACAAGCGUUGUCCGGAUUUACUGGGCGUAAAGGGCUCGUAGGCGGUUCGUCACGUCGGGAGUGAAAACUCGGGGCUUAACCCCGAGCCUGCUUCCGAUACGGGCAGACUAGAGGUAGGCAGGGGAGAGCGGAACUCCUGGUGUAGCGGUGAAAUGCGUAGAUAUCUGGAGGAACACCGGUGGCGAAGGCGGCAUCCUGGACCGGUAUUGACGCUGAGGCGCGAAAGCCAGGGGAGCAAACGGG
rnacentral:rRNA from 1 species